GAUGAACGCUGGCGGCGUGCCUAAUACAUGCAAGUCGAGCGAACAGACGAGGAGCUUGCUCCUCUGACGUUAGCGGCGGACGGGUGAGUAACACGUGGAUAACCUACCUAUAAGACUGGGAUAACUUCGGGAAACCGGAGCUAAUACCGGAUAACAUGUUGAACCGCAUGGUUCAAUAGUGAAAGACGGUCUUGCUGUCACUUAUAGAUGGAUCCGCGCCGCAUUAGCUAGUUGGUAAGGUAACGGCUUACCAAGGCAACGAUGCGUAGCCGACCUGAGAGGGUGAUCGGCCACACUGGAACUGAGACACGGUCCAGACUCCUGCGGGAGGCAGCAGUAGGGAAUCUUCCGCAAAGGGCGAAAGCCUGACGGAGCAACGCCGCGUGAGUGAAGAAGGUCUUCGGAUCGUAAAACUCUGUUAUUAGGGAAGAACAAAUGUGUAAGUAACUAUGCACGUCUUGACGGUACCUAAUCAGAAAGCCACGGCUAACUACGUG
rnacentral:rRNA from 1 species